rnacentral:rRNA from 1 species
UACGGAGGAUGCGAGCGUUAUCCGGAUUUAUUGGGUUUAAAGGGUGCGUAGGCGGAGUGCCAAGUCAGCGGUGAAAAUUCGGGGCUCAACCCCGUCGUGCCGUUGAAACUGGCGCCCUUGAGUGGGCGAGAAGUAUGCGGAAUGCGUGGUGUAGCGGUGAAAUGCAUAGAUAUCGCGCAGAACCCCGAUUGCGAAGGCAGCAUACCGGCGCCCGACUGACGCUGAAGCACGAAAGCGUGGGUAUCGAACAGG